rnacentral:lncRNA from 1 species
CCUAGACAUAUAUUGUAGCAUGUAACCUUUGGAUGCUCUUCUAGCUGAGGAUUCAAUUCUGUUGAGAAGCCUGGAUAUAUAUGUAUGUAUGUAUGCAUGCAUGCUUGAGGCAAGAUGUUACAAUGAUGGGGUGUGUUUGUCAUGAUAUAGAAUGGCUUGGGCUCAGUCUGCAUCCAGGGGUCAAGUGGAAACCCCAACCGGUAAUGAAG